AAGUCUGACUGUGAGGUCAGGCUUUUACCGUGUUUUCUCGCCUCUAUUCUCUCCUGCGAGCAAAGGCUGGUUUUAGCUCCUCUUGUUUCGCAAAGUUAGUGUUCAGACCGCCAGCUGACUCCUGGGAAGAAGCAUUAAUGGAAUUUCCUCCAGUAUUUUCAUAGCAACCUUCAGAUGAAAGUGUAGAACUCUCAGCUCCUCCUGCAUCAUGACUGCCUGGGGCUGCCAUGUUCCUGCCUUGAUGAUAAUGGACUGAACCUCUAAACCUGACUGGUUGUUCUAUUUCUGAGAUCUCUGAGACCCAGCCCACCAGGAACACACAAAUGUGGAACCGAGAUAGGCUGAGGACUUAUUAAACAGAAUUCUGCUGUUCCUAUCCCAGGGUUGGACCAAUGUGUAGAAAAUUGCUUAUGGGAUUCUUUGAAUGACUUUUUCAUUGCGGGAAAUAUUAAAAAUGAACCUGCCAACCUUCCACACUCCUGCUUCUUUCAAGCCACCAACUCAAGAGAUCUGUCUCUGCCUCCUACGUGCUGGAAUCAAAGGUAUGUGACACCAUGCCUUGCUUGUCUUUUUAUGGACACUGAUUUUUAUCUACUUUUGAUAGCUGCUGAGGUAGGUUUAAAUCUGAGAAUCUGCCUAGCUUUUCCAUGGUGACGAUCCAUUUUAAGUUCUUACAAAUAACAACAGAUCUCUACUUUCUCUGUGUGUUUUCCAACAUUCCUAUUACCUACUUUUAAAAAUCAUAGUCAUCUUAGGAGAAGGGUUAUUUCGUGGGUUUUUAAAUUUUUCUCUUGGGGACCUAGGAUAAGUUUCCUUAAGCAAAGUGUUGCCAAAUGACUUCUGCAGCUUCUGUUUGUCACACUUUUAUUCUUUGUUUGGUUUUGUUUUUGUUUUUUGAGACUGUACUGGCUGGUUUUGUGUGUCAACUUGACUCAAGCUGGAGUUAUCACAGAGAAAGGAGCUUCCCUUGAGGAAAUGCCUCUAUAAAAUCCCGAUUAAUGAUCAAGGGGGAGAGUCCAGCCCAUGGAGGGUGGUGCCAUCCCUGGGCUGGUAGUGCUGGGUUCUAUAAGAAAGCAAGCUGGGCAAGCCAGGGGAAGCAAUCCAGUAAGCAGCACCCCUCCAUGGCCUCUGCAUCAGCUCUUGCUUCCAGGUUCCUGCCCUGUGUGACUUCCUGUCCUGACUUCCUUUGGUGAUGAACAGCAAUGUGGAAACGUAAGCUGGAUAAAUGCAACUUGCUUCUUGGCCAUGGUGUUUGUACAAGAAUACAAACCCUGACUAAGACAGACUGGGUCUGUACAUACCUCUGGCUAUCCUGGAACUCACUUUGUAAACCAAGCUAGCUCAGACUCUACUUCCCGAGUGCUGGGGUUUAAGCUGUGUGGUACUAUGCUGGCUGUGGGCCUGUGUACUGGGGGCUUUUCACGGAGAUCUCUGGCCCAGCUGGGCGCAAGGCUUCAGGCAAAGGGGAGAGAGUGGGAGCAGGGAGAGGGAGUUGUCUCCACUGCCUCCACAGCAGCAGCUGGCUCCACCUCAGUCACCUCAGUUGCUCCAAGACACUGCUGUACCAGUCACCCUGCACUGAGUCAGGCCGGACUAAGCCAAUGAGAGGCUGACUAGCCAGAGAGGAGUGUGUGAGUGUGUGUGUGUGUGUGUGUGUGUGUGUGUGUGUGUGUGUGGCUUCUGGUGGUGUUUCAGGAGAACAGACCUCUUCCCAAGUGGCAGCUCUUAUGACAGAAGCUCUCAGACAAUGGAGUAGUUCUCACACACCUUUAUUCCUCCUGGAUGAGACCCUUAGAUACAGUUUUGGGGUGGGUCAUGGUCUGAAGGCAGGUACUUCCCAUUGGGUUGGUCUGAGAGUUUGGGAAUACCUUAUCUGCACGUGGGAGGGCUUGGGGUGCUGCCCCUAUGUGACUGAUGGCCACAGACCUCUCUAUGGGGGGACUGUGGGGGACUAUGUAGCUAUGUGACAGGAGCCAAGGGUCCAGGAGCAUGGCAAAGCACCCACGGUCCCUUGCAGGUUACCCACUGAGGGGUCACCUGUGGGGUCACCAGGGUUUUAGCCUGGGCUGGACCAGGGGCUGGGCUGCCUAUCACAGUCCACCACUCCACACUUGGCAAUAUUUUUAUUAUAAAUAUAUAUAUAUAAUAGUAUGUAUUAUACAUAUAUUAUGCUAAAUAUAUAUUAUAUACAUAUUACUUAUAUUAUACAUCAUGGUAAAUAUANNUAAUAUAGUAAUACUAUAUUUAAUAUAGUAAUACUAUAUAUAUAUUUACCAUGAUAUGUAACAUAAAUAAUAUUACUAUAUUACUAUUCAUAUAUAUGAAGUUACAGAAAAAAAAUGAACACAGUGACUCAAUUUCUAAAUUAUGUGGCCUCAUUUAUACCAUGCCAUAGACAGAUUUGAUUAACAAGAAAAACAUCUAUUCACAUUCUCCUUUAUAUUUUCUAGUGGCUCCUUUGCCUAAGGGAGGAAGACUAAAUUUCUUUGUAAGCUGCCAGAGCAGCCUCAGCCUCAUUCCUGCCUUAAGAUCCUGUAACAGGGUACUUGUAAUUGUUCUCCCAAAGUUCUUUCUGCCUGAGCCCCUCCCUUCCUCUGCCUAAUAAACACUUCCUGUUCAACCGCU
ensembl:lincRNA 2500002B13Rik RIKEN cDNA 2500002B13 gene